rnacentral:rRNA from 1 species
GACGUAGGGCGCGAGCGUUGUCCAGAUUUAUUGGGCGUAAAGAGCUCGUAGGCGGCUUGUCGCGUCGAAUGUGAAAUCUCAGGGCUCAACUCUGACAUUGCAUUCGAUACGGGCAGGCUAGAGUUCGGUAGGGGAGACUGGAAUUCCUGGUGUAGCGGUGAAAUGCGCAGAUAUCAGGAGGAACACCGGUGGCGAAGGCGGGUCUCUGGGCCGAAUGACUGCUGAGGAGCGAAAGCGUGGGGAGCGAACAGG